GGCUGUAGCUCAGUGGCAGAGCACUUGCCUAGCACACAGGAGUCACUGGGAUCAAUCCUUAGCACCA
rnacentral:tRNA from 1 species